AUGCACUGCGGUCAACAUGGUUCAUUUAAGGGACGUUGGAGCAGAGAGUGAAGCAGGAGAAAACGACGGAGAAGUUUCCUGUGUGAAAAAUCGUUACAGUCCAGUCACGGAAGGAAGGAAAAGGGAAAGCUGGCUGGCCAAAAGACCUGAGGCUGAGAAAAGAGGACAGAACACACUCGAGUCUUUGGCAGAAAUGUCUGGCAUCCACAGCACAGCGCAGAACAGCUGCCCAUUGCCUCUGGUUGUUGGGUCGAGAGCAUUUCUGGGCCGGAGAACCGAUGCCACCCUGUCGUGAUGUUGGAUCUGCCAAGGAAAUAUUGACUUUCAAACCAGUUUGAAAUAUCGCAUGCUGGUCCACGUGAUAGAGGACGUGUCCAGGUCACGUUAGACGACUCGUUU
ensembl:lncRNA